GCCGGGUGCAGUGGCUCAUGCCUGUAAUCCCAGCACUUUGGGAAGCCGAGGAUGAAGCUGACUUGAUCAUGGUGGAUAAGCUUUUUGACGUGCUGCUGGAUUCGACAAAAACAAGCGAUGGGGAAAGGAUUCCCUAUUUAAUAAAUGAUGCUGGGAAAACUGGCUAGCCAUAUGCAGAAAACAGAAACUGGACCCCAUCCUUCCACCAUAUACAAAAACUAACUCAAGAUGGAUUAAAGACUUAAAUGUGAAA
rnacentral:lncRNA from 1 species